rnacentral:lncRNA from 1 species
GUAAAUGUCCCUGUCCCCAGCCAUUAGGAGAGGAGACAGGGAAGGAAGGCAAGCAGACGGUAAUAGCCCUCGCUUGCAGUCACUUAGUGCAAUUACAGUACUCCCACUGCAUAACAGCAGCCUGGGGUAGCAAGGACCAAGUCAGCUACAUGUUUCCAAAUGAAGAAUUCAAUACAACAUUGCCCAAAUCUGGCAGAAAAGUCACAUUCUUUACCCCCUUAGCACUUUUCCAAUGGCUUUGAGUAAGUGCUAAGUCUGUCUCCAAUUAGCUUACUAUAUGAAGAAUGAGUGUGAAUGGCAUUAGUGCACAUUAAAACACAUCCUUGAAAUCACACCCACACCCCUAUUAUUCUUCAGCAACACUACAUGCUGUAAUAACAGUAACAACGAGCAAGGCCCCCUGGUUUGCCUAAUAUCUGAGCUUUAAUUGGUUUGUACAUAUUUAUGGGACCAGGGGUGGUGAUUUAAAGAAAAAAAAAUGCUUGCAAGAUUGAAGACUUGAAUCUCCCCAUCCUUGGAUGUGCCCAUGAAGGACAGCUGCUGAAAUAAACGAGUUUGAAUAGAGAGUCCAUGAAGGAAAUUGGUCUUGUCCCUGACAGCUUAUCUUUAAGCCCAAGGCUUUCCUCUAAUUGUCUGUUGUUGAUGCUUCUGUUGUGGUUAAAUAUAACCCGAAGGAACUUGGGUACAUGCCCUUGGGUGGCAUGGCAAGAGGCUGAUGGCUGCUUUCUGCUUACCAUCCAGCCUGUUUGCCUCUCCCUGGAAAUCAGCUAUAAAUGAUUUUCUAAGUCCACUUAAGCUUUAAAUCAAGAACUACACUCUGUCCCUCUAGAGCCAAGCUGAGCCUGCGAGGUCCUUCAUUCUUCAGGAAUGAUGUAGGGGUGAGAGAUGCCUGGCCACAAUUUUAAAAGCAUUGGUCUGUCAAGUUAGGCUGCAAUGGAGUCAACAGAAUCAUCAUAUGUACAAGGUACUGUGAAAUUAGAUUAGGAGAAAUAGUCCCCAAGCCACAGAAGUGAUCUGUUCAUGUGCACAGCACCCAAUACUGUACCUGAGCAUGUAGGUACUAUUCAGCCUUAUACACAACUCUGUACACAUUGGUACAGCUCCAGCAGUCAAUGCCCAUCCACUUAGCUGUGUCACCAGCACAGCUAGAAGCAAAACUGCACACAGUCAAUCAAAUCCUGAUUGCAAACUAAGAUAAUUAGAUAGUAAGAUAAGCGCUCAGUACAUGGAAGCUGCCAUACUAUAGCUACUAACUACUAUUUGGAGGUGGGGGAGCUCUGCGUUUGGUAGCCUUUCAUUACUCCUGCACUUCUAAGAGGUCUUUUGGCAUAAAUGCUAUCCAAGUCUACUAAUAGGUCAUAAUCAAUUAAAUAGGAUUUAAUGAGUGCAUAUUUAUGAAAUGCAUAUUGUAAUGGAAAGUAAUACAAUCAAUCAAGCUUACAGACAGACAGAUAAGAAGUGCAUCGGGGGGGAGAGGGGGGUUUGAAAGCCACAAGAGGACAUCAAGUGUCCUGCUUUUUCAUACUUUACCAUGUUGCCUUGAGAGAGGAAUUCUAGCUGAGGCUGGAGGAAGUUUUGCUGCCAUUAAGCCUCAGUUAUCUUUCUGUGGUCCACAGUGAUCCACAGUGCUGGGGUAUCCAGUGGUGUGCAGCCACCCUCAAGUUCUUAUAUGCUUGGAACUGACCUCAGGUCCUUGUGUUUGUACGGCUAGCAUUAUUCCCCACUGAGGCAUCUCUCCAGACUUCAAGUGAGGACAUUUAAGG